rnacentral:rRNA from 1 species
GACGAACCGUGCGAACGUUGUUCGGAAUCACUGGGCUUAAAGGGUGCGUAGGCGGCGCAGUAAGUUGGGUGUGAAAUCCCUCGGCUUAACCGAGGAAUUGCGCCCAAAACUACUGUGCUCGAGGGAGAUAGAGGUGAGCGGAACUUAGGGUGGAGCGGUGAAAUGCGUUGAUAUCCUAAGGAACACCGGUGGCGAAAGCGGCUCACUGGAUCUCUUCUGACGCUGAGGCACGAAAGCUAGGGUAGCAAACGGG